CCAUGCCCCUGAACGAACAAAACGACCCAAGUGUCCUCAGUAAACUGAAUUCUCGACAGUUCUCAGACUACCAAGAUUUUGGUGAUCCUGCCAGAGACUUGGCAAACCUGGAUGAAGAACUUUACAUGUCAUACCGCAGUGAGGAGGAUGACGUCAUACCAUACGGUUUCCCGGUGCAAAACUAUAUUAGUCAUAGUGACCUCUCGACCAAUGUCUGUGAUAUCGAAGAUUCUGACGUUCCGGCCUGACAAAACCCGAAACCCCUGGUCUUGGAGUGCCAGAUUUAAUACUUGAACUUAUUGAUUUUUCCAAGAAAUAUUGACAGUGGAACUGCAUUGGACAAUUUUAUGAAACGAUCUAAGCAGCUAAUUUCAUGAAAUUUUCUCUCUUUAACUGUAAGGUAAAUAAGAUAACUUCGUUAUGAUCUAUUAGUUUAUUGUCAGAAUCUUCAAGUGUCUGACUGCAAUAUUUUAAUUAAUUCUGUACAACUGUUAAGUCUAUCUUUUGAUAUAUUAGUGCAAUUUAGAAUCAAAAAGAUUCGUUCAAUUUGCCGAAACUAUUGGAGUAUGAAAUGGAGCCCUACUAAAUAUAGCUCUGGGUAAAUAUAGCCCUGCCUGACGAAAUAAAAAAGCCUUGCAAAUGAAGUUGCAUUUCUUUUUUAUGCAGGAAAUUUUUUUAACCUUACAACCCUGAUAUUUUUAUACUUUGCUUCAUUCGCAACUAUUUGGAAAAAUCAGUAAUUCUUGUAUUUGGCAUCCAACUCUAGGCUGGUCUUUUGCUAAAAGUGCCGAUCACCAUGAUCUCAUAAGUAAUUCCUCACAAAGAGGGACUGUUGAAGCGUUAAAUGCAAGAACAACAAGUGUUUUAUUUCAAAGACUUUGUUUUCAGGUUGUUUUUACAUGUAUGGCUUCAAUUACCUUAAAUAGGUAUCUGUAUGAGCGUCAGUAAUUUCAAUUUUUUCUGUCUUAGAUUUAUAUUAAGUAUUAGAAAUUUUGAUUUCCUUUUUUCUAAUCGAUCAUUCUCAUGUCUAGACCAAGUUUCUUAGACAAAAUUCCAGGAGGUCUGAUUUUAGGUAGAGUCAAAAAAUUAUGACAAGCAACUUCAAAAACUAUAUUUUUUUUAUGUUGUCAUUCAUCUCCUUUCGUUUUAUUUGACUUACGUAAUUUUACUUCAGUAAGUUUGAAUGGAAUUACAUUUAGGUCUAUCCUUGCAAAAAAUUAAUUUUAUUGUUUUCUUGUAAAUGUUCUAAGUUCCUUCUGAAGCGAUUGAACCGCUCAGUUGUUUCAUCGGGCGGUUUCUCUCUGUAUUAUCACAAUGAUUUUGAGUUGCUAACUGUAAACUAUCUGGUCAAUUUAAAGAAUGAGUGGUGCAGAUAUAAUUUCAGAAUAAUUAUUCAAAUUUUUAACUUGCUCAGAAACAGCAAGAAAUUUCAUCAUGUUGAGAUGAAUGAAUGUACCUAUAAUUAGAUGCUAUUUUUUUUUUUUAAACAUUUGGAAACCCUUCUUUGUCUGUGUAGAUAGUAGCGUUUAACUAUUGCGCAAGACAUGAUCAACCCGAGUGACUAACAUUGUAGCAAUGUAAUCUAAGCUGUCAUGUGUAACAACCAAAUAAUUGUCCUUCAAUUUGUUUUCCUUGCAAAUUUUUUCUUCUCAGAGACGUUAUGUUACUCUUUUGUGAAUAAAUUUUGGGCUCGUAAACAAUUUUUUUACAAAAGUUCGAAGAGGGCUGAUUUUUUAAGAAUCUAAAAAGUAUAGAACACUUUUGAAAGAAAUUGGUAUUUUCUAAUUUGUAAAACUAAAGUAUGAAAAACCAAACUUGACAAAGAUGUUACACAAUUUCAAGCAAAUUAGAAUGUUGAAAGUUUUUCAGUAACUCUGCAUCACUGGAAUGGACUUGUUUCAAUUUAGCUGUUUGGAAAACAGAUCAGAUUUAGUACUUGUAUUAAUAAUUACACUUUUCUUUAAAAUACUCUUAUUGAAUGGCAGGGUGACAAGUUUUUAAGAAGUUCAGAAAUCUCACUGUCAAACUUCAUGUUUCCCUGCUAUCAGAGAAUUUUGUGUUUGUUUAUUUCCACCAACAUGAAGAAUUUUCAGAGAAACCUUUCAUGCAUUACUUUUUUAGUAAAUGAAGAUUCAAGAAAUUUUAUGCAUGAAAGCCUUGGAAAUUUAGAAAUUUCAGAAUUAGAAACUUAGGAUGAAAAUACUCAGUUUGCAUGUGGAAAGAAUGUAAAAAAAUUGACAACCCGAGUUAGGUCUUGAAAACUAUCAAUCCCUUAAAAAUACUUUCUCGCAAGGAAAAUUUUAUAUCUUAAGAAAUAGCGAAACACUACGACUAUUGUCCAUUUAAACAAUUCUUUCCUUAAUACUUACAUGUUAUGUUAGAAGAGACAGCCCCAAUAAGAAAAGAAUUGAUAGGUGUCUAAUCUGGAAUAGCUGAAGUUUUAAUUUUUUCUAAGUAGUAGGUACCUGAAAUGAUAAGUCUCAAAAAUCUUAUUUUUUUAAACCCGACCAAAUUGCCUUACAAAAAUUCAAACAAAUCUAUUUUUUCUUCUUGUUGUAGUUUCGUCUAUUUUACCUUUUUCUCUAAUUCAUUUUCGUGCCCUCUGUGAUUAUGAUUUGAUUGUAGAUCGUGCAAAUUUUUAUUGAAGAAAUCAUCGCUCUUAUCUUGAGACUGAAGGGUUGUUUCUGAACUUUAGCAAAACUAAUGAUUUUUAUGGAGACUCUGUAUCACCGUUUUAUGAGUACAUAUUAGACAAAUAUUUUAAAAAUUUCCAAGACAGUACCCUUCUUUGCUAUCAGAAAUGUACCCUUUACCUCAAAGACAUAUUCCCUGUAGUUUAACGUAAUUUACUUUUGAAAGCCUUUCACUGUCAUUCCACUAGAGCUCUUAUUUGUUGAGUCUUUGUUCAUCUAUUUUUUUACCAUUUGUAAACGAUGUGUAAAUGCCAAGGAAAGUAGAACUUAGGAGAAUAUUUGUGGUACGUUUUAAAAGACUGAUCUUCCCAAUUCUUGUAAAUAACUGGACAGCCAUGAUUAUUGCCAUUAUUUUUUUAUGUGUACCUAACCGAAUUGUAAUUUGUAAAUACGCUUUUUUGUACUAAAUUCAAAAGUAAUUAGUCUAUAGUUCAAUUUAUCUCAAACUUCAAGUAAAAUUGAGUCAGUGCUGUAACUUAUUUUCUCAUGUUUCAAAGAGAUGUAUCAACUAAAGUCUGCACACCGUAAGUUUUUCUCAAGUAUCUCAGUUCUGGAAUUCUUUUCUGAAAUGAUUUCUCAACCUCCUUGCAGUUUUUACAUUUCUAUUUGUAAUUGUGAAAACUUUAAUCCAAUUUCAUCUCUUUUUCUUCUUUUUGUGUAAUUUCAUCUCUCCAAAAUCCCUGUAAUAGUCUCUAAGUUUUUAGCAUCAAUCAACUAAUCUGAAUUAAAAAUUAGUCUUCUGUUGCAUUUGGUAAUUAGUCAUUCACACUACUUUCUUGCAAAAGACUUAAGCCCUUUUCAUUCCUUUCAAGAGCAAUAUCCUGUUCUUUUUACCUAUCAAAAAAAAAUGUAUCAGUUGAAUUUUUCAUUGAAGAUUUUCUUGUUCCCCGAUGACUGCCUCAAUUUCUUGUGUUGGGUGUCACUAUUUUUCUCAGAUGAUGAGUUGUAAAAUUUACUGUUUCAUUUUUUGUCCUGUAAAAACAUUUUGUAAGAAAUUAUGUAUGUAUUGUAUUAUAAUAUUUUCUCCUUUUUUUGACUAAAGAAAUCCAAUUAUUAAUUUGGCAU
rnacentral:lncRNA from 1 species